CUGCUCACUUUGCAGCACAUAUACUGAAACUGGAACUAUACAGAGAUUAGCAUGGCCCCUGCACAAGGAUGACAUGCAAAUUCAUGAAGCGUUCUAUAUUUUA